ensembl:snRNA U1 U1 spliceosomal RNA
ACACUUACCUGGCAGGGGAGAUACCAUGAUCAUGAAGGUAGUUUUUCCAGGGUGAGGCUUAUCCAUUGCACUCUGGAUGUGCUGAACCCUGUGAUUUCCCCAUAUGUGGGAAACUCGACUGCAUAAUUUGUGGUAGUGGGGGACUGUGUUCGCACUUCCCCCUG